UUUUAGUUAUUUACAGUUACUAGAUUCCUGAAUGGUCUUCCGGUGAGACCAUAUAAAUAUACGACUGUGUUGUGUUCUGGACAGCCUGUUCCGCUCAGACUUCGUCGACGGCAAUGGACGGACACCUGGGACGGACGGCGAGCUGUCAGAAAUGUCACACCUGUCAUUCAGCGUUCCUGGGCCGCUCCCCGCCACAUUGCUCUUCCGUUAAUGAGGGAGCGUCCGUUAGAGAAUACCGUUAGCAUGUUUAAACAGCGGAACGAACGGAGCCUAGUGCAGCCUGCGGGGCCACACAACAACGCCUGUUUCUGUUUGCAGCCUGCACCGCACCGGGAGAACGCUGAUGCCUGUCUGCUGCCUGCUUCGUGCAGCCUGCCUCCCUUCCAGCUGCUAGCCUGAGAAAUUAGGUACAUCUGACAAUCACUAAAAGCCUAAUCUCUGCCUGGGAGAAGAACGGAAAAAAAGGAGGAGAAGAGAGAAAGAUGAGAAGAGAAAAAGUGGAGAGAGGAGAGACGUCCUCUGAGGAUUGUUGAGUGCUUCUUACAACUGGACUGAACGUCAGGAAGCUGUCUGGAAUAGAAGCUGUUUCCAGGACAUUAAAGACAUGCUCCGGUACUUUGGCAAGUUAUAUCAGCUGUUUUGGUGAACCACUCCCGCAUCUGAACUGCCUGACACAGAGGGCACAGCAUGAUCAUAGGUAUGUUUUUAUGUGAGAGAGGAAGCCAGUCCCGUCAUUGCCACCUCACCCGCCUUCAACUCUUUCACAAGUACCAUCACACUGGUGUGAUCAUUCUACAGUGGUCCCUGAAGCGGUAUGAUUCCACCCUUGUGAUUAGAACGCUUAUUUAGAACUGCCAGUUUUGAAUGACGCAACAAUCAGCUUUGAGCGCGCCACACCUUUUUCCAGAAACUAUUUACACAAACACAGUUCUUUCAAAGUUAUGUCCAGAAUGUGAGCCGUUUAUUUUUGGAUGCAAUGUUCAGAUAUUCACAGAAGUAUCUAUAGCAUAACACAAUCAUCCAAACCCGGAAAAAUGUAGGCUACAUUUGUCCGAGCGCUAACUGAGGAAAGAUUGACGCAACACAAGCGGUCAUAUUUGUGUAACUCUCCUCUGACAAACUACAAUAUGAAAUAGCUAAUAGCAAUUACUAUUUAUAAUUAAUCACAUCACGGGUGAGCUCACCAUUGAUCGAAAUAAUUGAGUAAAACAAUUUCUAGAAAUCGCGUGCAGCAAUGUUUUUUUUCCUCACAGAAACCAAAGAUAAGAGAAGACAAGAGUUUGGUCUGUUUACCAUCGUCUGUUUACCAUCGUUCACAUCCCACCAUUCACUUCCUGAAGUUCUCAAAAAAUGAGUGAACCCUUACUCACCUCAAUUUGUUAUAGCAUCUUUGGUCCUACAGACGAUUACGUGAAACCCAGAAUGCAUUGUAUGUCAACAAACAUGUCUCCACAAACAUAGCUGGAAUUAGCUAAUAAUUACCACACAAAACAUUUUCUGAUAGUGAUUUAUUGAUUCAAAUGGCGCGUGCCGGCAGUCAAUCAUGUAACCUCUCACUCCCACUCUGAGCCAUUCAGUGUUGUUUAUGUAUGCAGCUCGUGAGCUAAGCUGUAGCAUUAGCAAUGUCUUUCAAAAAGGAGACAACUCCCAAACACGGAAAUUCUGGAUAUUUUUUAAAAUUCUGACAAUGCGUCUGUAUGAAAGUUUGGAAUCAGAUUCUGACAGUGAGGAGCUGCUACCCAGCCAUUGAGAACCCUGAAUCUGAAGACCCCUUGUCCACUGACAACGUCCUAGUUCAAUUUGAAGAUGCUGGUGGUGAUGGAGGCAGACCGAAAAAGGAUGAAGUACAGGAGUUCUAUUGUAGCUGGAAGGCUGCCAGCCAUUUCACCCCUCCUGGCCCUGCUGUUUGCUUUGAUGAGUCCCAGUCUGAAGUGCAACACCCCUUGCCAUUUCCAUCUGAGGCAGAGUGCUUCAAGUUGUUUCUGACAGAGGAUCUGGUGGGAGACAUAGUAGAGACCAAUCACUAUGCCUUGGAGCUACUGGAGAAGAGAGCCAGGAGUGGGGGGCGGACAACCACAAUUAGUGAAAUGUAUACCUUCCUGGUGACAGUCCUCAUGGGGAUAGUAAAGUAGUCUCUGAACUCCAUCAGAGAAUAAUGGAGCACAGAUCCUAUGUUUGCAACUCCCUUCUUUGCCACCCUCUUUUCCCAAGUCCGCUUCCUAGUUCUGCUGCUAUGACUGCAUUACAUCAACAAUGCUACAGCCAUCCUAAAUGACCCGUUAUACAAAAUAAGAAAUGUCAACAGUUGGCAGUAAAGUGGCAUGACAAACGAGACGUCCAUGUCGUCUCCACUGUCCAUACAGCAACCACGUCGGCCACAGGGAAGGUGGACCACCUCAGGGGAGAGAGACAAGCCAGACUGCGUGCUUGACUAUAACCUCAAAAUGUGGGCAGUGGAUAAGGCGGACAGGAUAAACAGCUUUGUGGAAGGCACUCAGAAAAUGACCAAGUGGUACAAGAAGAUAUUUUUCCAGGAUAGCUUCAAAUUACAAUAAGCCAAUACUUCUGACGCAAUUAGCAUUGUUUUACAGAGCUAAUAGAAGAAUGUAGCUAGCUACAUAAGCACGAUUGAAUAUAACACCAUAAAGGUUAUGAAAUGAGUAACGUUACCUCGCGUGUCCGCGGCUAUAAAGAAUAUACACACAUAUAUUAUGCUCCAUACACAGUGAGCUAAGGUAUAAAACGAUAUAUAGAAACUAUUAUAACGUAAUAAGGCACUUACUUUGAUAGAAGCACAUUCUGGUUUUGAGCCGGGUUGUCUGUAGGGAUGCCUCCAGCACUGAGACGCUGUGUCUUAGACAGCUGCGCCACUUGGGAGUCAUAAGGCCAGGGUAGCUUCAAAAUACAACACAUGCUAAUACUUCUCUGAUGCAAUUAGCAUUGUUUUCCAGAGCUAAUAGAAGAAUGUAGCUAGCUACCUAAGCAUUGAGUAUAACACCAUAAAGGUUAUAAAAUGAGUAACGUUACCUUGUUUGUCCGCGGUUAUAAGGAAUAUACACAAAAAUAUGAUGCUACAGUAGAAACGACGUAACACGACAUGCAGAAACUAUUAUAACAUAAUAAGGCACUUACUUCGAUAGAAACGCACACAUUUCCAAAGUUAUUAUUGGUAACGAAAUCAACUAUGACUGCAAUGCAGAAUUGAGCAAAUGUCUGCAGAAUUGAACUACACAAACAAUUGGGAAGUGUUUGGGGAAUUUUGUCCAGGUCAGAAAUAUCCAAAAAUGUAUUGGUCCAAAAAAGUAGAAAUGACAACUGUUAUGUGAAUGAAUGGGGCGGAAAACACCUCAAUUCAAACUGCUCUUAGAAAAUACAAAACUUGUUUGAAAAUAAUUUGAAAUUGACAAAUUGAAAACAGCCUAUAAAUAAAAAAUGUCUGCGUGCCUUGGUUUGAGGGCAGCGCCGGAUUAAAUGUACUCUUGCGUAACAAUCACAUUCUGGAAUGGAGAGAACGUGCAUAAAAAAACUCACACUGGGGCGACCGUUAGAGAUAUUCACGCAUGAAAGCGUUAAGAUAACCUUCAGAACAACUGGGGGCCCACGGCUGGUUAGGAGACACCGCAAUUGUGAUGAACUGAGAGAAUAUUAGAGUAGCACUGUAAUUCAUGAAUCAUAUACUGUCUGCCACUGUUCUUAUCUCUUUCCCUUUCUGUCUUCUCCACUUCUCUCCCCACCUCGUCUUUCUUCCUCGUUUUAUAAUGCACACCAUAUGAGCAUUGAAGUACAGAUUCAACUUGUAUUUAUAAUAUUACAAUUGUCAUAAUUACAAUGCAUGUAUGUAUUUAUAACACCUAGAUAAUGAACUUCUUUCAAUAAAGCGUUUCACAUUCUC